rnacentral:rRNA from 1 species
UACGUAGGGGGCAAGCGUUGUCCGGAUUUAUUGGGCGUAAAGAGCGUGUAGGCGGUCAGGUAGGUCCGUUGUGAAAACUCGAGGCUCAACCUCGAGACGCCGAUGGAAACCAUCUGACUAGAGUCCGGAAGAGGAGAGUGGAAUUCCUGGUGUAGCGGUGAAAUGCGCAGAUAUCAGGAAGAACACCCGUGGCUAAGGCGGCUCUCUAGUAGCGGUACUGACGCUGAGACGCGAAAGCGUGGGGAGCGAACAGG